rnacentral:tRNA from 1 species
CCAGGUAAGAGCUCAGUGGUAGAGCGCAGCGCUUAGCAUGCACGAGAUCCUGGGUUCAAUCCCCAGUACCUCCA